rnacentral:rRNA from 1 species
CCUACGGGAGGCUGCAGUGGGGAAUAUUGCACAAUGGGGGAAACCCUGAUGCAGCGACGCCGCGUGAGUGAAGAAGUAUUUCGGUAUGUAAAGCUCUAUCAGCAGGGAAGAAAAUGACGGUACCUGAUUAAGAAGCCCCGGCUAACUACGUGCCAGCAGCCGCGGUAAUACGUAGGGGGCAAGCGUUAUCCGGAUUUACUGGGUGUAAAGGGGUCGUAGACGGCAGCACAAGUCUGGAGUGAAAUGCCGGGGCUUAACCCCGGAACUGCUUUGGAAACUGUGCAGCUAGAGUGCAGGAGAGGUAAGUGGAAUGCCUAGUGUAGCGGUGAAAUGCGUAGAUAUUAGGAGGAACACCAGUGGCGAAGGCGGCUUACUGGACUGUAACUGACGUUGAGGCUCGAAAGCGUGGGGAGCAAACAGGAUUAGAUACCCCUGUAGUC